rnacentral:ribozyme from 1 species
GGCAAUCAUUGUCGAAGCCUUUACGUGGCGAUUGCUAUAAGUAGCUCCUUUUGUUCCUUGGAGCGAAACUAAUUCGGC